rnacentral:rRNA from 1 species
UUGAACGCUGGCGGAAUGCUUUACACAUGCAAGUCGAGCGGCAGCGCGGGGGCAACCCUGGCGGCGAGCGGCGAACGGGUGAGUAAUACAUCGGAACGUACCCAGUUGUGGGGGAUAGCCCGGCGAAAGCCGGAUUAAUACCGCAUAAGUCCUGAGGGAGAAAGCGGGGGACCGUAAGGCCUCGCGCGAUUGGAGCGGCCGAUGUCGGAUUAGCUAGUUGGUGGGGUAAAGGCCUACCAAGGCGACGAUCCGUAGCGGGUCUGAGAGGAUGAUCCGCCACACUGGGACUGAGACACGGCCCAGACUCCUACGGGAGGCAGCAGUGGGGAAUUUUGGACAAUGGGGGCAACCCUGAUCCAGCCAUGCCGCGUGAGUGAAGAAGGCCUUCGGGUUGUAAAGCUCUUUCAGACGGAAAGAAAACGCAUCGGUGAAUACCCGGUGUGGAUGACGGUACCGUAAGAAGAAGCACCGGCUAACUACGU